rnacentral:rRNA from 1 species
UACAGAGGGUGCAAGCGUUAAUCGGAAUUACUGGGCGUAAAGCGUGCGUAGUCGGUUAUCUAAGUCAGGUGUGAAAUCCCCGGGCUUAACCUGGGAAUGGCAUUUGGGACUGCAAGGCUGGAGUUUGGCAGAGGAGACUGGAAUUCCUGGUGUAGCAGUGAAAUGCGUAGAUAUCAGGAGGAACACCAGUGGCGAAGGCGACUACCUGGCCUGUUCUUGACGCUGAGGCGCGAAAGCUAGGGGAGCAAACGGG